UACGGGGGGGCAAGGCGUUGUUCGGAAUUACUGGGCGUAAAGGGUUGUAGGUGGCCCGCUAAGUCACACGUGAAAUCCCCGUCCGAGCUUAACUGGGGAACUGCGUGUGAGACUGGCAGGGCUCGAGGGGCAGGAGAGGAACGCGGAAUUCCAGGUGUAGCGGUGAAAUGCGUAGAUAUCUGGAGGAACACCGGUGGCGAAGGCGGCGUUCUGGACUGGUCUCUGACACUGAAGAACGAAAGGCCAGGGGAGCAAACGGG
rnacentral:rRNA from 1 species